AACGAACGCUGGCGGCAGGCCUAACACAUGCAAGUCGAGCGAGCAUUUCGGUGCUAGCGGCGGACGGGUGAGUAACGCGUGGGAACGUGCCCUUUUCUGCGGAAUAGUCCUGGGAAACUGGGGGUAAUACCGCAUACGCCCUUUUGGGGAAAGAUUUAUCGGAGAAGGAUCGGCCCGCGUUGGAUUAGGUAGUUGGUGGGGUAAUGGCCCACCAAGCCGACGAUCCAUAGCUGGGUUGAGAGGAUGAUCAGCCACACUGGGACUGAGACACGGCCCAGAAUCCUACGGGAGGCAGCAGUGGGGAAUCUUAGACAAUGGGGGCAACCCUGAUCGAGCCAUGCCGCGUGAGUGAUGAAGGCCUUAGGGUUGUAAAGCUCUUUCAGCUGGGAAGAUAAUGACGGUACCAGCAGAAGAAGCCCCGGCUAACUCCGUG
rnacentral:rRNA from 1 species